rnacentral:lncRNA from 1 species
UCUUGCACUGUCACCUGGGCUGGAGUGCAGUGGCGCAGUCUCUGCUCACUGCAACCUCCACCUCCUGGGUUCAAGCGAUUCUCCUGCCUCAGCCUCCCAAGUAGCUGGGAUUACAGGCACCUGCCACCACACCUAGCUAAUUUUUUGUAUUUUUAGUAGAGACAGGGUUUCACUAUGUUGGCCAGGCUGGUCUCAAACUCCUGACCUCGUGAUCUGCCCGCUUCGGCCUCCCAAAGUGCUGGGAUUACAGGCAUAAGCCACCGCGCCCGGCCCCCCAAAGUCUUAUGUUUUAAACUUUUUGACAUUUCUUCUAAGAUGUCCAGAAUGCUAGUACCUGCACCUUAAUAAAUGUUUGUGAAUAAAUACAUUAUUGAAAUCUUAGGCAGGUGUGCCACAUAGCUUAAAUCUGAGACACUGUGUUCUUCAGUCAGAUCAUGCAUAUUCUUAGAAUAGUAACCUCAAAGGUUUAUACCCUUGCUACCUUUUUUAUGUUUUUUGUAGAGACAGGAUCUUGCUCUGUUUCUCAGACUUUUUGAACUCCUGGGCUUAAGCAGGCCUCCCACCUUGGCUUCCUAAAGUGCUGGGAUUACAGAUAUGAGCCACUGCGCCCAGUCGACACUGUGGCUCAUUUUAAUUCUCACGUAGUAUUUAGUUUCAUUUUGCAGUUUGAAGAAAUAGGCCCAGAGAUGUUAAAGGGGCAGGCCCAGAACUUGAAUCCAGAUCUUGUGGUGAGAAAUUCUUGUUUUACUAUCACGUUGCUUUUUAAAGCCAGCCUGCUUUUUCCAGUUGGGAGGCCUCGGGGAGAAAAGUCUGACCCAAGUGAGAAACACCUGUAAUAUCUACCAGAUGCCAGCAGGGUGUCCCAUGGUGCUGUCUUUGAUCCAUGUUCUUACCCUGUGUGCUGAGGGUUCUAGAGUAGGACUACAUCUAGUCACAGUGGCCAUGUUCCAGAGCCUGGCAGCAAGAAAGAGGGAUGCCUAGCUCCUUGGCUUUCCAGUGUGCAGUGCACAGCCAGCUCUCUCAGAGAAGCCCUGGCCCUCUUUUGACCCCUACUAUUGAGGCUGGCCCCACAGGAGGACAGCUGGUCACACAGUGGCUGGGGCCUGGCUAGCCACUCAAUGACUACACAGCAGCCCCACAAAAAAAUCAUAGAAAAGAACCUGUGAAAGGGUAAAUGUUUAAAACAUCUGCAUUUGUGUUGAUAGCUGAGUAUACACUUAAAUUUUUAUUAGUAACAGAUCCACAAAAAUGACCCACUCUAGGAAUUUUAAGUUUUAAAAGCCAAUGUGUGGUAACUUCCAGUUUCCAAUAAAAAUGUUUGCAUUACACUUAGCCUACAUAUACUAUCUCUUAGGUAUCAGUUUUUGUAUUCAGCAACCCUAGUUGGUAAUCUACAGUGUCAAAACUAUCACUUAUGUGAAAACAAAUGAGCAAAUAGCCCUUUAAAAAUUUCCUUUCCCAGUGCUCGUUACGCACUUUAUACAAAUGUCUGUAACUGUUUUAUAAUUAUUUCUUUGCAAGGCUUGGUUUCUUCAGUAGAGAAGAUUCUUAGAAGUAUCCCCAGUGACAGUACAGCUCCUGGCAUUUAGUAGGUGCUCAGUAAUUAUUUUACUGAAAUACUCAUACUUCCAUAAUAGUUCUGGGACAAUUCUAAACACAAGCCAUUUUUCUAAGGAGAGUCCACAUUAGAGAGGUCUUUGUUUUGUAUUCAAGAUGAUUAAAAUUAAUUAUGAACUGGGAAGUUAGUCCCUGGGGUGUCCUGGCUGGCCUUUGGAAAUCUUCACUACAUCUUUCUGGGUUGGAAUUCUCACCACAGCCUGAACGUGGGGCUGUAUCUGAGCUGUCUCUGAGUGCUGUCCAUUUGAUAUAUCGAGUACUGGGUGUUUACCAGGGCUCUUCAAGCCACUGGGAGAAACAGCUAAAGAGUAACCUACUGAUUUGAGAUGUGGAUUUGUGCCGCAUCCCUUUCUCCUUGUUUCCCACAGGAGUUUUAUCUCAAACUCCUAAGCCAUUUUUAAGGAGAUCACUGGAACAAACUCCAAACCUACCCUCUAAUAGUCAAGUUUACCUGAAUUUUCUCAGUUCUCUCGCGAGAAGACUAAUCACACAUUGUAGUACCAACUUGGACUCUUCAUGUGCUUUUCUUAACUGAUUAGAGUAACACCUCAGCUAAAGUGUAUAGAACAUACAUGGGGCUUCAUCAGGCUUCAGAAUCAGUUUCACUAGAUGUGCUAUGUAGGAGGCCACGGAAAAAUUACCGUAGUAGUAAAAGUUAUCAGUUCUGAUGUAAACAAUCAUUUUGUCCCAUAUUAUAAAUAAAUUGGCCUGAAAAUAUCCUUUCAUAUGUGAGGAAUAAGUAUAUGAUGCCUUUCUCCUUUAAAGUAUGAACUGCUAAAAGACAGGGAUAACGUGUAUUCUGUAUUCCAGCAGCCACAGUGUGUUUCUGGUCUUUGUACCAGGUGCUCAGGAAGUGUUUUCACUGGCUUGGGUUGACUACUUGCCAUCUGCUCUCUGAGCAUUCAUUUCUGAAUGAAAGGGGAGAAAGUGAAAGGAGAGGUGGGAAGAAAGAGGAAGCUGCAGAAAUAAGAGGAAACAGCUGGAGGAGGGAGGUGAAGUUGAGGAGGUAAGGUCAGUAAAACAAAAAGCUAGCAGAGGGCAGGGUCAGGCCCUUGGGGUAGAGGGCUAAUUAACUUAUGUCAGCUAGUUGAAUAGAGCCUUGUGUGCUUUGUUAGAGACCAAAGGUACUUCAAAGGAAAAAAAUCUAGAUUCUUCCCUGUGUACCUUAAUAAUUGUUCAUCAGGUCAAAAUCUAUCCUGUCCUCUAGGAAUUCUGGUCUUCCCUCAGGCCUAGCAGAGAGCUUUCUGCCACUACUCAGGCAACCAAGGGUGAAGUGCUUCAAGUAGUAUUUGUGGACAGCAGCAGGUAAGCUUGAUGUGUUAUUCACAGCUUAAAGAGUAGAUGCUGAGUACAGCUGUUGUCCAUGUGUAGAGCUUUUAAUAACCAGCUCAGCAGGCCCCUUCACCUGCUUUUAUGCCUGGACCAGAUGACUGAAUGUAGAACUUUAGGCACUUUUUUUUUUUUUGAGACGGAGUCUCGGUUUGUCGCCCAGGCUGGAGUGCAGUGGUGCAAUCUCGGCUCACUGCAAGCUCUGUCUCCCGGGUUCACGCCAUUCUCUUGCCUCAGCCUCCCAAGUAGCUGGGACUACAGACUCCCACCACCAUGCCCGGCUAAUUUUUAUAUUUUUUAGUAGAGACAGGGUUUCACCGUGUUAGCCAGGAUGGUCUCAAUCUCCUGACCUGGUGAUCCACCUGUCUUGGCCUCCCAAAGUGCUGGGAUUACAGGUGUGAGCCACCAGAUCCGGCCCUUUAGGCACUUUCUACUUCUCAAGGUCAAGAAACAUCCUUUAAAAAGUUAAUUCCCUUUUCUGGAGCCUAAGCCAGAUCUUAUCUAGGCCUUGUGUUGCCAUCUGUUAGCAUUGAUUUCUGGAAUGGAGCAGCUUUCUCAAAGUUUGGUCUUGCUAGUCAUGAGGUCAUGUCAGUGUCUUAGGUCACUGCUGCUCACCUUCCUUACCCAGGGAGUAUACUGCAUAGGUUUCUGAACACCUGUUUUCAUUAUUCACUGUUCCUCUCACUGCCAAGAAUGGAGGGACCCUCAGUUGAAGAUCAAAUUGACUCUGAAGAAAAACUGGAGAUGUUUCUCUUGGAGUUUGGAUAGAGUAUUCACUUGAUAACAUGUUUUUCCCCUGCCUUGCUCUUCACAAGAACAUCUGGCCAGGUAUUAACAAUUAGUAAAUUUUUUUGCAUAUGAACAGUAUUUUUCUGGUGAUGUAGAUGGGUGCACAUGACACUAAACAGCAUUGUUUAGUGUUAUCCCUCUUAACUGGUGGGUUGUAUUUGGGGUGGAGGCUAUAGCCAAUGAGAAGACAUUCACCUCUGUACUCGAGAAACUUUGUGUAGGAAUUUAGUUUAUUUUUUAAUUUUUUUUAAUUUUUUAUUUUUUACUACUUUUACUGUUAGCACAAUGCUAUAAUUGAGCUAAUCUUUGUAGUUUGGUGCAGGACCACCAAGUUUGUGUGACCCAUUACCUACUUUUUCCAUGCUCAGCCAUUACCCUGUCCUGGGGCAUCUGAGGGCAGUAAGGAACAGGUGUCCAAAGGAGGAAUGUUGGUGCCUAUGAGUAUGUUUUCCAGUUGUAUUGAAUUUCUUACUUGGUGUAUUUUUGACUUGUCUUAGUUUCUUUCCUUGUGGUCUAUGCUAUUUUACUUGCGAUUUGUUGGAUAUUCUCCCUGUCAUUAAAGAGUUGUAAAAUGGAAGUUAGUUUCUCUAUGCAAAUGCUUUAAUGGAUGAAGCUGAUAGGUUUAGCAUUGAUUUUUGCUGGUGUCUUUCAACAAGCAUGAAGGUGAUAAAUGUGUUUCCAUGGCUUUAGACUCAUUUUUGAAGUCUUGGAUUGUGUGAACAUUCUUAGAAACAAUAAAAUGUUUUAAUUAAAAGCCCUCGACUACCAGUUGAAUUCAGUGUCUACUAGGAAAAUGGGUAGAUUUAUUACAUUGUCCCUUUGCUCUCUAUGACUUUGUUCCAGUUGUCAAGGAACUUAAAUGGGUAUUCAGGAAAAAGAAUUCUUGUUUCCCUUUCCUCACCUUGCCAGUUAAAUAACUCCUGGUGACACUUCAGGUGGUAGAAUUGAAACACAAACCUGACUUCUGACCACAUGGGUCAAAGGCAAAAGGCAAAUGGCUUCAAAGCCCUUAGUGUGCUUAUCCAGUUCAGGCAGUGAGGAGAUAACCUCUGCUUUCCUCCCUGAGGAGUUUGGAGUAUUUAAGGGGGGAUGGGGGGGGUGUCACUUUGAAAAUAUGUUGCUUUUUCUCCUGAUUGUAUUGAGGCUGAUAUGGAAGGGUUAUUUCUUUCUGGCCAAUACUUUUUGGUAUUUCUAAAUAUUGCAAUCUUGAUUUUUACUAUUAAAUUUGUUAAUUGUCAGUUCUGGCUUUUUUGCAUAAAGAGUUGGUCCAUUAACUUGCCAAUUUGAAGCUUCUAACUAGAUAUUCCCUACUGAAAGUUUUGGAUUUGUUUUUAGUUUGUGGAGCAGUCUUAGCUGGGGACAGGUAAUUGACAACGGCAGAGAUACUUUUCCUAGGAUUCUAAGUCUGUAAUCCACAUCCUCAAUGUAUUCACAGGACUUUAAAAUUCUCUCCAAAUGAGGAAGGAAAUAUCCUGUUGCUUUCUAAUGUUUACUAAAAGUUGUGUUUAGAACAACAGAUUUUAAUAGGCAUCUUCCUUUGUUAUGUGUCAUAGCCCUUUGCCCGUUUACCUUAGGGCUCUUUGAAGGAGAAAUGGAUGGGAGAAAACCUGUCACUUGGCGAAAGUAAAAGGGAUAAUUAACUGGCUCAGAGCUUAUGUGCAGAGUUCCAAGCCCCAAAGUUAAUCUAGAACUACUCGAUAACACCAAUAAAAAUAUUUAUUUCACAUCUGUUAUAUAUCUGGAAAAUGUUCUAAGCAUCUUACAUAUAUUUUUCAUUAAAUCCACAGGUGACCAUUGUGAGGUAGAUAUUUUGUUCUAAUUUUCCAGAUGAGGAAGCUGAGACCCUAAAAGGCUGACCGGUUCCCUGAUGUGUUACCUGCUUCUGCUACUGAUCCAAACUGCAGAACUUCUCAUUCAUCCCCAAGGCCUCCAGGCAGUAUCCAAUGGGGAAUCAGCUCUAAAAGGAACCAGACCAACGUUUUCCAGCCCCUUCAUUCUGGUGACUGAGGGGAGGAAAGAAUGGGAGGGGGUAUUCUUGUCUAGUGGAUGGAAAGGAAACACACUGUCAAAUUACUGUAUCUCCUUGGUUUUCUAUUACAGUAGAAUUCUCCAGCCAUAUUUUUAUUGUCUAUGGGGGAAGUUGGAGAUGGUGACCUUGAUUAGAAGUGUCUGGAGGGGGAUAAAUGGAGGGGAUAAGAUUCAGUUGGUUUUGGAAAAUGUUAAAGUCUUAAAAUAAUGCGUCCAUCUGAAGAAUUUUUUCUAAAACCAGAGUUUAUAAAAAUAUCACUGAUACAGCCUGCCCCCUCAUUUCCCUGCCACAGGAGAUGUCUUGGACUAGAGACACUUGUUUAAUAAUAGCUUGUCUCUGAUAUUCCCAGUAGCUUCCCUCUGUGUGAGGAAAGGAUAGAAAUGUUCAGGACAUCAUCAUACAGGCUCCUCAUCUACAAAGUUCCAGUAGCAGUGACGCCUACACGGAAGACUUGGAACUGCAAACAGGCUGGGGUCACCUCAGUGACAUCUGACGCUGUCCAACCAGAAGUUCGAUUUUUGUUCUGGGGGUGAAGGAGGAAACAGACUGUACUAAAG